rnacentral:lncRNA from 10 species
CAGAAGGAACCAACACUGCCGACAUUUUGAUUCCGGACUUCUGACCUCCAGAACAAGAACCCAGACUAGCCCCAGCACUCCAGGCAAUCACCACCAAACAAUGAGAGUUGGCACAGGAUACAAGACUUCUGUCCUUCUAUGACAUGGAUUUCUUCAGCAUCCAGGUGUGCAGGGUUUCUGAGCCAGGAGCAGUUGAGGAGUGGGAAGAACAUCUGGAAAGACUGGGGCCACCCUUGGAUUCUGAGACUAUGCAUUCUUAAACAAGAGGAAAAUAUUCCAGAGGAGUUUGUAACUCAGGCCAUGAAAGUGUUUCUCAGAAGCGGCAGUUCUAAUUAGAACUGCAUCUAAAGGAAAUAUCUCUUCAUUGGUAGGGACAUCUUGCCUCACUAAAUAGACUCUGAUUGGGGAUGAGAAAAGGCAGCAUAUUAAACUCUUCAAAUCAAAGAGAACAAUGAAAUGCCAAA